rnacentral:rRNA from 1 species
UACAGAGGUGGCAAGCGUUGUUCGGAAUUACUGGGCGUAAAGGGCGCGUAGGCGGCCUUCUAAGUCAGACGUGAAAUCCCCCGGCUUAACCUGGGAACUGCGUCUGAUACUGGGAGGCUUGAGUAUGGGAGAGGGAUGUAGAAUUCCAGGUGUAGCGGUGAAAUGCGUAGAUAUCUGGAGGAAUACCGGGGGCGAAGGCGGCAUCCGGGACCAGAACGGACGCUGAGGCGCGAAAGCUAGGGGAGCAAACGGG